UAGGAUUCCCCUAGUAGCUGCGAGCGAACAGGGAAGAGCCCAGCACUUAAUCCCGCGGCCGAUAUCGGGCGCCGGGAAAUGUGGUGUUAGGGAGGAUCCGUCUAUCCCGAGGUCGUGCGGUGCGUCCAAGUCCUUCUUGAACGGGGCCACAGCCCAUAGAGGGUGCCAGGCCCGUAGCGACCGCUGCCGAUCGCGGGAGGAUCUCUCCUCAGAGUCGGGUUGCUUGAGAGUGCAGCCCUAAGUGGGUGGUAAACUCCAUCUAAGGCUAAAUAUGACCACGAGACCGAUAGCGAACAAGUACCGUGAGGGAAAGUUGAAAAGCACUUUGAAGAGAGAGUUCAAGAGUACGUGAAACCGUUCAGGGGUAAACCUGAGAAACCCGAAAGGUCGAAAGGGGAAAUUCAUUCGCGUCUCGGACUCGUCGGCGUCGAACGUGUCGCGUGACGAACGACGUGCUUGCACGACGUUCGCGCCUUCCGUUCUUCGAACCGGCAUCGAACGCGUGCACUUUUCCCCUAGUAGGACGUCGCGAUUCGUUGGGUGUCGGCCUAAGGGCCGCGGUGGAGUCCGCGCGGACGUUUCGGCGUAUCGUGCGGACCCGCGAACCCUGGCCGACUCGCUCGACGGUAUACAGAUGGCGCGGGGCCGCUACGGUCGUCGCACGGCGACUUCGGUCGUUUGUGCGACGUUCUCGAUUAGCGUUCGGCCCGCGGCAAGCGCGUUCGGCGUACGACGGCGAUCGGACCUCGUGCCGGUCCUGUCCCCGAAUGGCUGUUGGCCGCGGUGGUAAUGUGGUGGUGGUGAUGGUGGUUUUUUUUCUCCAUCAACAUCAUCUCUCGAACAGACCUCGUCGUCGCGCGUAAGCGCGUAACGCCGAUCUGCGACGCUAUAGCUUUGGGUACUUUCAGGACCCGUCUUGAAACACGGACCAAGGAGUCUAGCAUGUGCGCGAGUCAUUGGGACAUAACUAAACCUAAAGGCGUAAUGAAAGUGAAGGUCCGCCUCGCGCGGAUCGAGGGAGGAUGAGCGUCCGAUAAGUGGUCGCUCCGCACUCCCGGGGCGUCUCGUUCUCAUCGCGAGAAGAGGCGCACCAAGAGCGUACACGCUGGGACCCGAAAGAUGGUGAACUAUGCCUGGUCAGGACGAAGUCAGGGGAAACCCUGAUGGAGGUCCGUAGCGAUUCUGACGUGCAAAUCGAUCGUCGGAACUGGGUAUAGGGGCGAAAGACUAAUCGAACCAUCUAGUAGCUGGUUCCCUCCGAAGUUUCCCUCAGGAUAGCUGGCGCUCGUAGCGCACGAGUUUCAUCCGGUAAAGCGAAUGAUUAGAGGCAUUGGGGUCGAAACGACCUCAACCUAUUCUCAAACUUUAAAUGGGUGAGAUCUCCGGCUUGCUCGAACUCUGUAUACGCGCAGCGCAUCGUCGUCUAUCGUCGUUCGCGCGGCGGUCGUCGACGCUAGUGUCGUUGCGUGUUAUGAAGCCGCGAGACUCGAAUCAGAG
rnacentral:rRNA from 1 species